rnacentral:rRNA from 1 species
CAGCAGCCCAAGUGGUGAUCGCUAUUAUUGGGCCUAAAGCGUCCGUAGCCGGGUUGGUAAACCCUUGGGUAAAUCGUCCAGCUUAACUGAACGAAUUCCGAGGAGACUGCCAACCUUGGGACCGGGAGAGGUCGGAGGUACUCCAGGGGUAGGGGUGAAAUCCUGUAAUCCUUGGGGGACCACCAGUGGCGAAGGCGUCCGACUAGAACGGGUCCGACGGUAAGGGACGAAGCCCUGGGUCGCAAACCGGAUUAGAUACCCGAGUAGUCC